GGGCCAGUGGCGCAAUGGAUAAGCGGCGUCUGACUACAGAUCAGGAGAUUCCAGGUUCAACUCCUGGUUGGCUCA
rnacentral:tRNA from 1 species